ensembl:lncRNA
GAGUUAAGAAACCAUAAACAAUUUCCAGUGUUGAAAUACUUAAUGUUAGCUCUGUAACUUGUGGGAAUCAUGGAACCCAAGAGUUCCAUGGAAAAUGGAAGUGAAUGAAAAGUGUAAAACAAUAAGACAACUGCAAACUUAUUUCUGGUGCUCACCACUUUCCAGAACUCUUGUAAUGAUAGUUUAUGUAUCCACUCUAAUUUUGGAUGGCUGAACAUACAGGAACUUGAAACCAUGACUACUUUGUCUAACUGAAUCUUAAUAGCACAGUUUGGCUUGUCCUCAUGUUAUGAUGCCUGGAUAGGAUUGCAUGGUAGGGUGAAAAUAAACCACUUUUGGAAGGAAAAAUUGGAUGCAAGUAACAUUCCAGGUUUUAUAUGAGACUCUUGUGGCUAUUUGCCAGCCUUUUCCAGGAUUGCAGUUUCUGAGGAAGUGAGAGAGGGAAGUUCUUAUAUUUCACUUGUAAAACUUGCAACAAAAUGAUGGUCUGGUAAAAUUCUUGGAGAUCUGGAAAAAAAGUUUCCAUUUUAUGCCUGUCUUAGUCACUCUGGGAUAUCUGAUCACCCUGUGUGACUUUGCCCACACAGCAGAAUAGGUAUGGGAUAUUGGUAACUUUUCUUUUCAAAUAUUGUUACAGUUUUUGAUUUCUUCCCCCUUUUUUUUUACGUAAUAUUUGGGAAAUUUUCCUGAGACACACUUAGCAUGGGUUUAUACAAAAUGCUGGAAAUAGGUGGUUUCUCUUGUGGUAUGGGGCUCAACUGUUCACUUCUGUCAACAGAAUCCACAAUUUCACAUGUGCAGCUCUCAUGGGAAGCUUUCUGGACCUUGCUGUAAGAAUAUGGGAAAUUCUCUGUACGGCUACAGGAUAACACAAGCAGAGGAGCCACAGUUCAGCAUGUUGCACCCUGUGGCCUUGAUAAUUUUCAUCAGCUUUAUCAUCUGUUACAGGUUUGUUUAAGUUUCUAAACACAUUACGAAGAAAUUGCCAAAGAAAAAUAAUACCUGAAUAUUUGAGGUCUCAUAAAUGAAGACUACAAUAGUGGUAAAAUAGAAGUGUUCAUACCAGUUAGUGAAUUUUAGAUACACGAGAGAAAAACACUGUAGCAAUUGGUGUGAGAUAAAGACUGCUUUUGGGAUUUUGGUCUUUUCUGUGCUGUAUAGGAAUUGUAGUGAGAAGGACUUAGAGAAAAAUUCCAAUUCCAGUUAAGCAGAGAAGACUGGAAAGACUGUGCUAAACUUACAUGCUGUUUUCUGGCAGCCCUUGUGCAUUGGAUUUUCUAGAUUUCCGUUAUCUUUAUCUUCAUUAGAUUAAGGUCAGGGUGGGCAAAAAUUUUACUUAGAAUCUUUCUCCUUGAGAAUACAUAACAGUUUUAUAAGUUGGACAUAAUCUCACAGGUUUCUGAAUUUUAACAGGAAAAAAAGGGAAAAUGGGUGCUCAAAAAAUUUCUUAGUAUAAAUAAUAUCACACCAUGUUUCCAAGCUUUGAAUCUAACAUUUAUAUUUUCAUGUGUGGGUCUGACUCUCGUGAUAGGCUUAAUACUGUGGUUAAAUUUUGGCUUAGAAGUUUAUGCCCUGGUUUCCAUGAAGUAAGACUCAGAGCUACAGGGUUCUUAGUGAUGGUGUUUGCAGUCACAAGUGAUUGUAGUUCUUAAAGAAGACUGAUACUGACAACACCAAUUGUUUGAGCCUUUAAAAACAUUAACAGGUGGUGUUCUUGCCCCCAGAUUGUUGUGAUGAAGACAGUGAAUAAACUUCUAAAGGAAAUUCUGUUGGCCAAUUUCCUUCUCUUAGUUUAUCGUUAUCUUUGGGUCACCUUCUAAUGGGAAGGAAAAAAUUCCCUGGGAUAUUUUAGAAGAAAAAAGUCUUUUGGAGGAAAGAAAAGACAGGUAAGAGAUUGUGUGGCAUUUUAUGUAGCAAAAGGUUACAACUGAGAGUGCUACAACACCUCCAGAAAGUCAAGGGUAAAGCAGAUUCUUGUUAAUGGAUGCCCUGGGGCAGCUUAGAGUAAGACACUGAAUGCAUGGUGUUUCUAAAUACCUGUAGGGUUUAUUGCAGAACAAUUUGGUUGCAGUAGUAUGUAGCCAUUUUGGUUAUUACUGUCUAUAUUAAUAUGAUAAUAUAUGCUUUAAAAAUGUAUAAGGAAGGAACAAGUGUCAAAUUCUCACCAUUAAAAGACAAACUUACACCAGUUGGUAGUUGCAAUUAUGAUGUCUGUUGGGCAAAGUGGUGGUUGCAGACCAUCAGGAGGUGGGAGAAGUCAUACAACACCCCCUAAAACACUACAUCUAUUGAGUUGUCAUCAACUCAGGUUCAGGUGAGAAUGGGAACGCCCAGGUACUUCUCUUGGGUUGGGGAGUUUCACACUGGAUGAUGAUUGUGGUUCAUGGGGCACUUUGGAAGCCUUUGACACCCUCUAAGACCUUAGAGGUGUCUGUGUCAGCCCAGUAGAGUCCAUCAUGGUCUGUCAGCAGAAAUAAAAACCUUCAGGCUGAGUGUGAAUGUCCCAGUUCUUCAGUGGCAAGGGAGCUGCCACAGCUGAGUUCUCUUUAGUAAGGACAUGAAGGCAUUCCCCAAGCCUCAGGGUUUCCCUCUUUUGUUACCUUGUUCAACACCAGCUUUUAGGGGUGUGCUCACCCUCUGCACCUGGACAGGUGCUUUGCACAUCGAUGGCUUGCUCCUGAAUCUUUGAGCUAUCAGCAUUCCAAUCUCUCUCCAGCAUCUCCUGUGGAUAGUUCUUCUCCCAGACCUGGGAUGAUUGGACAAUAGCACCCCUUUAUCUUAUCUCAAGUGCUUGUCACUUUCCACACUCCAGUCAGUUGGCAUAAUGGGGUGGGGUGAGGUGGGCCUUGCUGGUUUGGAUGAACAGCUUCUUUGCAGUUCACUAGAGUGGGCAGAAGUCCUCUGAUGAUUUUUACAGUGUUUAAGCCAUUAACUAUUUCAGUCUCUCAUAGAGAGUUGAUGUAUAUUUCUUUUAAAGAUGAGAUUCCAGCAAGAGCGCAUACUUCUUGUUAUGUGAAUUGUCAGAGCUGCCAUUACACAGCACAGUGUUCAGGGUUCUUUCAUGUUUCAGGUUUGAGUGCUAAAAUUGCAUAUCCUUCUUGCUUCUUACAGAAGUAACCUGGAUUGCAGAAUUAUCUUUGUGAGUAAACCAGAGUGUCUGUGUAUCAUUACUGGGGUACAGUAAGUUUAUUUGGUCCAUUAUAAGAUUUUUCUUUGUGUCCAGGAUUUCUCUUGGUAGAAAACAAAAGGAAAAAUUUGAAAAGUUUGUAUAUGUCCCUGGAACCUAGAAAUAAAAACAAAGGCAUAAAAUAUUGACUGUGGGGAACAGUUAAACUAAAAUGGAAAUUUUGUGAUGCCUUACUGCCUUGCCUCACUAAUUAAACCACAGGGAAGCAAUCAGCAGAGAUUUAACUUUUUUGGUUAGAAUAUUUCUUCUGAAAUAAUGUGAUGGUUUGUGCUUGGCUAAAAGCAAUACGUAUUCUUGAAUAUGUUUGCAUAUUGCAGUAGAAUCAAAUCUUCCUCGUUUGUUAUAGUACUUUUGAGAGGCAGCAAAACUUUCCUAGGUUUAUUUUGGACACCAAAAAUCCUUUCCCACCUCAGCAGUGGUAGAAUACAGAAUUAUAUCUGUUUUUUAGGAGAGUCCUGAGCUUUCAUCUGCCAAUCAGAAUGGAUUUUUGUUGAGAGACCUUUAUUUUACAUUCAUUGAAACAGUAAGAAGUCCGAAAUUGAAACUGAAGAUUCCCAUCAAGUUGACUUUUUCUCAUUACCCAGCUUUUUUUUUUUCCCAUCCUUCUUACAUUCCCCAACUAUAAACCUUGCAGCCUGUUUAUGGUCCUCUCCUUUUGGCGAAACCUAAGAUUCUAGCUCUGAAUGAUUCUAGCUUUAGGCAUGCCAGUCAUUUGGGACUGGGUAUAUAUUUGCUUUCCCUUAUUGCUGGACAUGCUCCUGUCCUGUCUUGCCCCCACUCCCUGUGUUCAGUGCAUGAGAACACUGUGUACCUGGAACUGUUUCAGUUCUGCCUCAACACCUGACAGGUAGCUGGGGCUUUGUUUGCUGACAGUGUGACUUACCUUCCCAAACUUUUUCAUGAUAACCUCAUAACUGCUGUACUCUGCAAUUUUUUCUGCUUCAGCAAUGGCAGAAAAUGCUGUUGUACUGCAGUGGUGAUGUUUUUUGCUUGGAUGAGGAUAUAUAAUUGGUGGGGUUUUUUACCCCAGAAAGAUUUUACAGUCUAGGUAGGCUUUAAGUUCUACAAUCAAAUCUUCUCUCACUUCUCUCCAUCUUCUUCCUCAAGUCCUGGAAAAUUCACAGGAUAUAUCCACAAUCCACAAAGCUGGUUUUAAAUACAUUCUAUCUGAUGUCUUUAUUGUGGAUGAUAUUAUGGACACAUCUAAAAAAUUGCACUAAUU